GGGGUGGUGGCGCAGUUGGUUAGCGCGUCGGUCUCAUAAUCCGGAGGUCGAGAGUUCGAGCCUCUCUCACCCCA
rnacentral:tRNA from 1 species